AGUUAAAAAGCUACCAGAGUAAGCCUAAUGUCUUGAAAACAUUAUGAAAGAAGUUUGAUUCUUCUAUUAACUU
rnacentral:tRNA from 1 species